AUGGAAAUCUUGCAUUACGAUUGGAGGAGAAGACUAGGGGAGAAGGCGACGGCGGAGGCGGAAGAGUCGACGGAGUUCGCGGCCGUCGGUGGUGCUCACCGGACCAGAGCGGCUUCGCCGGAGCGCCUACAGAUUGAAGAGAUUCAGGCGAUUUGGCGAUGCGCCGGCGUUCCCGCUGGCGGCGGAGUCCUAUGCUUGCCGUUUUCGGUGGCACUGGGCAGUUUCGUCGCCGCCGCGGUGGCGGUCUCGCCGGUGUGGUUCUGCCUGUCCGGAGACACACACUGGUUGUGCCUUGGGAUUGGGCCGUUGUUUUUCGGUCUGAUAGUUGCGCAUUGCUUCAAAUUGGUAUUUGCGAUCAGUUCGAGGAGAAUUUUGGGGAUGAAUUUCAACAGAAUGGCUUGCGGCGAUCAUCAAAACGAUGAUGAUGAUUUCAUGGAUCCACCACAACAGAAUCGGGCAACUGGACGGAGAAAAGAGGGCGACGAGAAGAAGAAACGUACUCGCAACAGAGCCUCCCAUGAACGACUAACUUCAUUGACUGGCAGAUUUACCGACGAUCAGAAGGGAGCUGCUGCUGAGAUGGGUAUGCAGGCUAUGAUGAAUGUCCGGUGCACGAAUCUAGCCAACCCUGUAUGCGACUGGCUUGGUGAGAUUUACGACCCUGCCUCCAGGGAAUUUGUGAUUCCGGGACGUGGAAGACUGCCGUUGAACGAGGAAUCCGUGUUCUGUACUUUGGGUGUGCCCCGUGGACAAAUCAAAGUCCCGUAUGAGGUUAAUAACAAGAUCGAGGAAGCGUUGUUCCCCAGUUUGUUUCCUGGGUUGGAAUCCAUGCCGAACACGUCUGUACUGCCAGAUUCGCUGCAGGCCAUGACAACCCAUGGCGAGGUUUUUAAGAUGAAACUACUCAUGUACCUCAUCUCAGCUGUUUUCGCGCCGACCACUUCUCUUCUCCCAAGCAACAAAUGCUUCCCCAUCCUGGCGAAAUUGAAAGCUGUGAAGAACAUGAAUUGGUGUAAGUUCAUUGCCGACUUCCUGCAUGAUGCAUUCUCAAGCAAGAUGACAGGAGGCCCGCCGCCUACGCACAAGUUUGCUAUUUCUGUGUGGACUAUCGAUGCUGUCAAGGCUGUGCUUGCUGCAGACAGGCUGAUGGCCAAGCAUGCUAUAGACUACAACGUGUUUGGGGGGCCUCAAAACUUUGGAAAGUGGAUGGACAUGCACUCAGCUCUGUCUUGCCCUACUGAGGAGAGGGCACCCGUUGAGCAUCUAAUUGGGCAGUUUGCAUCCGGAAUGACCAUCUUGCUCGGGAAGUUGGUUGAGGGGUGGACGUCCCUUAAUGGCUCCGACAGCGACACGGUUGCGAGGCAUUUCACUACAUUUGUCCCAGAACGGACAAAUCGGCCAAUUGGUUGCCGUGGCCGGUAUGACUACAACAGUUCCCAAGAGCUUGCUGACACACAAGAUGAACUAGAUGGAGACGCUGGUCUCAGCAAGGAUGACGACGAUGACAUGGAGAAUGUGCAACAGGACACCGAUGUUGAUGAACAUGUGGAAGUUCGUGCAGGUGGUAAGAAGGGCAAGGAUGCACGAGAUGUCCCCCCACCGGAGAAAGUCAAAGAACAUACGGCUGCGAGAGGCGAGGGGGUGUUGCCAUCAAAGAGGGGGAGGGCUCCAGAGGAUGUUGGGCAGGGUUCUCCUGGCAAGAGGUCUAGGACCGAUCCCGUAGCUGCUAGGAGGAGUGAGGCGACAACUGGUGGACGAGCAGUUACGAAGAAACAGGCACCAACGCCAACCCGUGUUUCUGCUCGGUUGAACAAAGGUGCCCUCAUUGCUGGUGACACCCCUUCCACCAGGUCAUCUCCUUGUACGACGACGUCCAACAUCGGGGAUCCUGUCUUGCUGCCAGGCCUGAGAAAGCCAGUCAAGAAGGUGAAGAAGACUACUUCACGCGGGGCCAAGCAUAUCAUUAGGGACCCACUCGAACGCCUUCAUUCAAAGUUGUCAACAGGGGGCAACUCAGAUGUUCAUGAGGCGCCAGUUGACAAAACUGCUGCUGCACCGACAACUGUUCCCACUAACUCUGACGCAAGUGGCCGACCAUCUCCGCCGGUUGCAGAUGUGCAGGUUAGAACAACAAGCAUCCGUACAUCGGGGAGUGACGAGUCGGUAUCUGCCAGGACAGCUGAAAUAUUGCCAACUCUUCUGGCAAUGAAGGAUGCUGCUGUGAGCCAUGCCACCCCAUCAGCAAGCGUUGAAGUGGACGCUCCCGAGACCAACCUAAGCAAGGAAGAUUCCCGCUCAUCUGACACUGAUUCCAAGCGCGUGCAUGGUGGCACUCCUGUUUCCACGACAGAAGUGGCUGAGGCGGCAGUUCAUAAUGAUGUGCCAUCUGCAGGUGAGAGUCUUGGCACAACAACUCCAGCUCCUGUCGGUGCAGAUACUGCUAAGGCGACUGUUUCGCGUGCUGGUCUUCCACCGAGGCGUCGUAGCCCCCGCAAGCAAUCAACAGACAUACCCAACGCACCAGCUGUAGCUAGGAGCAGCAGAGAUGAGUCUAGUUAUGUUCCGGCGUCCACACUGUUCCCGCCACCUGCCAAAAGCAAUGUGAUGGAGAAACCGGAAGACCGGAGCACAACUGAUGCAGGUGUCAAGCCGGGCACGAGUGACGCAGUCAAUGUUGGUGUCCCCUACAGCCCAAACAAGAAGAUUGUCAAGGAAGUUGCGGCUGAUACCGCUGACAACACGCCCCGCCCUACAAAUAAGCCCGAUCAUUCUAUAGCGACCGAUUCAUAUAUGUUUGUUGAUCUUUCACCCUUGGAUUCUGCCCCGCAAGUUGUUCGCGGUCCGGCCAGUAGGCAUGAGAGGCACCCAAUGGCCUUCACCCCACCGAGCUUCAGCCUUGGCAUCAGUCAAGAUCAACUAGUGGUGCCAGAUCCUAUGUCAGUUGCCUUUGCUUUCCCGGGAGGCAUGCCCGCAAUGAUGGCGCAGCCAAUGGUCGAGGGCAGGAAGGCUGUCAAGUUCGCAGAGUUGAUCGUCCAAGGCACCCCUGAGGAGAUUUCACCGUCACAUGAUGAAUGUUACCGUAGGAUCGAGGAGGCAUCAUUGCAGAGGAGGUCCUCACGAGGUCAGAGGCAAUCAAGUUCCAAUGUGCCUGCAUAUACGGUAUCUGAGGAUACCAUUAGGAGUGCCACCCCUGGUUUUGUGAGGCAGCAAAGGGUAGUUCACCCACCUCCCGCGGAAGACUACGAGUCCGAAGUCAGGGCCACAAAGGAACAGACCCAACUGUACGAUAUUGUCAAGCGAUUUGGAAAUGCGAGGGCCAGCAGCAAGCACAUGAAGGAGCUGAAAGCAACCAAGGUCAUUCAAUGCGAAGCGACGUACGCCGACCUGGGUGAUCUUGCCGAGUCCGUGAGGCCAAACGAUGUUUCAUGCGGCAUCAGCUGCCGUGCAAACUUACUUUUUGAUUUUUGCAUCCCGUGCAAACUAUGUGGCAACUUCAAAGUCAUGUUCCCCAUGUUCCAGGAGCUUGCACCACACGACCCGCAUGACAAGUGUGGUCACCACUACGUGAUCUGUCUUGACCUGAAGAACCAACGCUUUGAGGUGCUUGAUUCAAUGCGUUCGGCAGCCGAUGCAGACCUUACUUCGCAUGCUGAAUUCUUCAUCAACAACGUCAAAGAGACAUGGAACCGUCACUACAAAAACUGA
rnacentral:rRNA from 1 species